GGGGAUAUAGCUCAAUCGGGAGAGCGCCUGCCUUGCACGCAGGAGGUUGAGAGUUCGAUUCUCUCUAUCUCCA
rnacentral:tRNA from 5 species